AAAGAUGAAGGUGAUGGUGUAAAGUUGACGUGGUGGUGUGUAGUUAAAGGUGAAGGUGAUGGUGCAAAGCUAAAGGUGAUGGUGUAAAUGUGAAGGUGAUGGUGUAAAGUUGAAGGUGAACUUGUAGAGAUAAAGGUGAAGGUGAUGGUGUAAAGUUGAAGGUGAACUUGUAGAGAUAAAGGUGAAGGUGAUGGUGUGGAGGUAUGCGUGGAGGUGAAGGUGAUGGUGUGUAGUUAUAGGUGGAGGUGAUGGUGUAAAGGUGAUGGUGAUGGUGUAAAGAUGAAGGUGAUGGUGUAAAGUUGACGUGGUGGUGUGUAGUUAAAGGUGAAGGUGAUGGUGCAAAGCUAAAGGUGAUGGUGUAAAUGUGAAGGUGAUGGUGUAAAGUUGAAGGUGAACUUGUAGAGAUAAAGGUGAAGGUGAUGGUGUAAAGUUGAAGGUGAACUUGUAGAGAUAAAGGUGAAGGUGAUGGUGUGGAGGUAUGCGUGGAGGUGAAGGUGAUGGUGUGUAGUUAUAGGUGGAGGUGAUGGUGUAAAGGUGAUGGUGAUGGUGUAAAGAUGAAGGUGAUGGUGUAAAGUUGACGUGGUGGUGUGUAGUUAAAGGUGAAGGUGAUGGUGCAAAGCUAAAGGUGAUGGUGUAAA